GUUGGUUGUCGAGAGAAAGGGAAAAGGCGGAGAAGCCGAAGAGGGACGCCACGGGCACAUCAGUGAGGGCACAACUGGUCUAAUCUAGGACAAACGCCAAGAGAAUAGGCACCUGAGGGACUUUCUUGUUGAAGAUCAGGUGGAAGAGGAGUGGGCAGUUACUUCAACACUUUCCUGGACAAAGGCAACGACCAUAUAUACCCAGGGUUUCACUCAGAGACAGCUAGACCGCUGAAGCCCUGAGCUGGGGGAGCCCUGUACUCAGCCUCCACUCACCUCACCUGGCCUGCAUUUCACCCAUCAACCCCCUUCUACCACCACAGACUCGCCGCAGGCCAGCCUGUCGUCACUAUGACGUCGGAGCUGGAGAGUAGUCUGACCUCCAUGGAUUGGCUGCCUCAACUGACCAUGCGGGCAGCCAUCCAGAAGGCUGAUGCCCAGGGGCACCACGGGGGGCCGGGCAUGGGCAAGAAGAGUGCAAUGCUGGACCCCAACACCACUCUGGACCAGGAGGAGGUCCAGCAGCACAAAGAUGGCAAGCCGCCUUACAGCUACGCCAGCCUCAUCACCUUUGCCAUCAACAGCUCGCCUAAGAAGAAGAUGACCCUGAGCGAGAUCUACCAGUGGAUCUGUGAUAACUUCCCCUACUACAGGGAGGCAGGCAGCGGCUGGAAGAACUCAAUACGGCACAAUCUGUCAUUGAACAAGUGUUUUCUCAAAGUGCCUCGCUCCAAAGACGACCCAGGAAAGGGCUCCUACUGGGCCAUCGACACCAACCCAAAGGAGGACGCCCUGCCCACACGGCCAAAGAAGAGGCCGCGGUCCGGAGAGCGAGCUUCCACACCGUACACCCUGGAGUCGGAGUCUUUGGGAAUGGACUGUAUGAUCUCUGGAAGUGCCUCUCCAACUCUGGCAAUCAACACUGUGACUAACAAGGUGGCAUUAUACAACCCAGACCAGGAUGGGAGUGACAGCCCAAGAAGCAGCCUUAACAACAGCCUGUCUGACCAGAGUCUGGCCUCCGUCAAUUUAAACAGUGUGGGCAGCGUGCACAGCUACACACCGGUGACUAACCACCCAGAGCCAGUGUCUCAGUCGAUGAGCCUCCAGCAGCCCCAGUACAACAUGCCAGAGAGGGACAAGCAGCUCCUCUUCUCCGACUUUGAAGAUCUCAGUGCCUCUUUCCGCAGCCUUUACAAGUCUGUCUUUGGGCAGUCCUUCAGCCAACAGGGUUUGAUGGGCAUGCCAACGGAAUCGUCCCAACAGACCCACACCUCCUGCUCCUAUCAGCACUCACCCAGUGGCACCAUUAGCACCCAGAACAGCCUGACAAACAACCACUCCAGCAGCGGUGGCCAGGUGCCUCUGUCCCACCCUCCCCAGCUCCCUGGCCAGAACGCCCACCCGGGCCAUGGCUCGCCCCACACACAGCACAUCUCCCAGCACGGCCCACACAACCAACAUGGCCAGCACAACCAACACGCCCAACACACCCAGCACCAGCACCCCCAUCACCCUGCGCACUCCCAGCAUGGUCCGCACCCAUCGCAGCACGCCCAGCAGCAGCACACGCCGCACCCCUCCCAACACGCACAGCACACCCAGCACCCCUCCCAGCAGCACAGCCAGCACCCCUCCCAGCAGCAGCACCAGAGCCUGGCUCACCAGCCCCAUCCUGCCCAGCAACAGAUGGCCUGCAACACGGGUCUGCCCUCUGACUGGUACCCAAAUCUGGACGCACUGAAAGAGAGCUGCCGUAUUGCCAGCAGUUAUAACUGGGCUGAUGUCGACCUCUCACCUUUUCAAGGACUGAAGGAGAGCAUGAGACUAGCAGAGCAGAACAACUGGGCCCUGGAGCCCACACAGAUCGCAGAUCUCUGCUCAUCUAUCAACCAGUUCUUCGCCCGCACCGGCGUCAUUCAGCCACAGGGGGCAGUGCAGCCCGUACCCGUAUGCCAUGGUUCCAUGCACCCCAACAAGCCCAGCCAGCACAUGGCCACAGGAAAUCUCUACAUGGACUCAAGACAGAGCAUGUCUAUGAUGGGCCCCCCAGGAUACCCCCACAUGCCCCCAAUGAGCAGCGCAGGUCCCACAAUGACAGGACACCAUGCGCAGAUGAACCAGCAGCACAUGAUCUCUCCCAGAAACUUCCAGAUGCACCGCAUGCCAGCUGAUGACAUCCAGGAUGACUUUGACUGGGACUCCAUUGUCUAAUGUUAGAUGUUCUGCCCCUAACGAGGAACGGUCAGGUGGUGCAGAGCAGGUGGAAGUAGGAGGAAGAAGCCAGGCUGAGCUGUACGCUCUAGCGAGGAGACUGACUGUUGCUGGUGGGAUACAGAACAGAAGAGCAGGUGUCGUUUUGGGAGGAUAGAGGGAGAGACUUCAGAGUGCUGCCAUUUUUACAAACAAAAUGAAACAUACAAAAUAAAGGUUACUUUGAAGACAAUCAUAUUUACUAGGACAUGUUUAAGUGGUGGCUUAUGUAAGUGGUGGCUUGUCUUGACCAGGCAAGUAGCACACGUUCAUGUCGAAACAAAUUCUCCAGUUCUCGUUCCUCAGCCAGCCCUCUCCCAUCCCCCUCCCAGACAGCAGCUUUCCAAAGUUCCCCCAGCUCCCUCCGUAACUGUUGUGAUUUGAGCGACUUGUUCCGCUUGUUAUCCUUCUCGUGUUGACUUCAGGCCUCAGCUGCCUCUUGGAUGAGUUUGUCUCUCUUUAUUCGUUUUUAUUAUUUUAUGGAAAACGCAGGCCGCCUGUGGUGCUUGUUGGUCAGCUUUGGGUGGACGAUGGAUCCCCAAUAGUGGGUUUAUUGGUAGGAAGGUUAGGCUCCCCAAUAGUGGGUUUAGUGGUAGGAAGGUUAGGCUCCCCAAUAGUGGGUUUAGUGGUAGGAAGGUUAG